UCUUCCUUCUUCUGCAAACGCUACAGUACCUCUUGCUGCCGAACAUGGUCCCCCUUCAUGGUCCUCGAUAACCAACACAGCGAUUCCCUGGGUGGCGGUGGCGCCGCCAACGGCCGUUAGUGUAACUAACAGGUUCAAAUAACGCUGCUUUACUGAUGGAGGAUGGGGCUUAGGACGAUGUUCCACUCCUAGUGAAGAGUCGGGUGGACUUCCUGCACAUGCUAAUUAGAUUCCUACACUGUACCAAAGUCAAAAUUUGUCAUCAGUGCGAACUACGAGAAUUUAAACUAAAGGGGCCCAAGCAAGUCUGCUAAACGAACACGUGACCCAAUAUCCCACAGUCAAGGAGAGACUCGUUCCCGCUGACACUUCCGUUUUAGCUUGUAAACAGCAGUGCAAUUUGCAAAUACACGUAGCGACUGAACUUUUGACUCCGAUAACUACAUGAUUAAGACACUAUUCAUUCUCUGUUUUGGUAUGAUCAUUCGCCACAACAAAAUCUUUAAAAUGGGAUCCAGUGUCAGUCACUCAACAGAGGAAACCGAGCUACCAUCGCUGGUUCGGUUCAUAAUCCGCCGGACCUGAAGCGGAGUCAUCAUUCACCACUCGCCUCUCGACCUGCCAACACGUGUACUUGGUCGUUCAAUAAUAAAGAGAUAAAAUCCA